GGCAACAUGGCCGAGCGGUCUAAGGCGCCAGAAUCAGGAAUUAACCUUAUCUCCAUCUGGUCCUCCGGGGCGCGAGUUCGAAUCUCGCUGUUGUCA
rnacentral:tRNA from 1 species